ACUCGUAUCUCCCCAAAGCGUACUCAUUCUCUCUCCCUCUCUCUCUGUCUCUCUCUCUCCAGUUGAGUAGUUAUCAUUCAAGCUCUCGGUUUGGAACGCUUCAAUGGCGUUCUCAAACCCUUCCCUCUUAUCUUCUUCUUGCUCAACAGUUCACAGGCUCAAUCCUCUUCUCUUCUCUCGCCGACGUCGUGCCUUCAAACUUUCUCACUGGCAUUUCAAUCGCCUUCGACCUAGGUUCUUCGCUGUUUCUGUACCAGAGAAUGCUGUAUUUACUUCUCCAGAGAUUGCAAAGUCCUUUGAUUUUUCGUCUGAGGAGCGGAUAUAUAACUGGUGGGAGUCUCAAGGGUAUUUCAAACCAAAUUUUGAUAGAGGAAGUGAUCCUUUCGUAAUUUCGAUGCCACCUCCUAAUGUUACUGGUUCGUUGCACAUGGGGCAUGCUAUGUUUGUCACGCUUGAGGAUAUCAUGGUUAGGUACCAUCGUAUGAAGGGAAAACCUACACUCUGGCUUCCUGGAACCGAUCAUGCUGGUAUUGCAACUCAGUUGGUUGUAGAAAGAAUGCUAGCAUCUGAAGGAAUAAAAAGGAUUGAUCUGGGCAGAGAGGAGUUCACAAAUCGGGUUUGGGAGUGGAAAGAGAAGUAUGGUGGAGCCAUUACAAAUCAGAUUAAGAGACUUGGUGCUUCUUGUGAUUGGACCCGAGAACAUUUCACCCUUGAUGAGCAGCUAAGUCGAGCUGUAAUUGAGGCUUUUGUUAGGCUUCAUGAGAAAGGCCUAAUCUAUCAAGGAUCUUACAUGGUCAACUGGUCUCCUAACUUACAGACGGCAGUUUCAGACUUGGAAGUAGAGUAUUCUGAAGAACCUGGUACUCUGUAUUAUAUUAAGUAUCGUGUUGCUGGAGGUUCAAGGAGUGACUAUCUGACAAUUGCAACGACACGCCCAGAGACUUUAUUUGCUGAUACGGCUAUUGCAGUGAACCCUCAGGAUGAUCGUUAUUCCAAGUAUAUUGGAAGGCAGGCUAUUGUGCCGAUGACAUUUGGUCGUCAUGUCCCUAUCAUCUCUGACAAGUAUGUUGAUAAAGAUUUUGGAACCGGUGUCUUGAAGAUAAGCCCUGGGCAUGAUCAUAAUGACUAUCUUCUGGCUCGGAAGCUUGGUCUUCCCAUACUUAAUGUGAUGAACAAGGAUGGCACACUUAAUGAUGUUGCUGGAUUGUACUGUGGCCUUGAUCGCUUUGAGGCACGGAAAAAGCUGUGGGCAGAUCUUGAGGAGACAGGCUUAGCUGUCAAAAAAGAACCUCACACACUACGAGUUCCCAGAUCACAACGUGGUGGAGAAAUAAUAGAGCCACUAGUGAGUAAGCAAUGGUUUGUCACCAUGGAGCCCUUAGCUGAGAAAGCUCUUAAAGCUGUCGAGACAGGAGAAUUAACUAUUAUGCCAGAAAGAUUUGAGAAGGUAUAUAAUCAUUGGCUGUCAAAUAUCAAAGAUUGGUGUAUAAGCAGACAAUUAUGGUGGGGGCACCGUAUACCAGUUUGGUACAUUGAGGGAAAAGACUGUGAAGAAGAAUAUAUUGUUGCUAGGAGUGCUGAAGAGGCUCUUGACAAAGCUCGUGAGAAGUAUGGAAAUGUUGCAAUAUAUCAGGAUCCUGAUGUUCUUGACACUUGGUUCUCAAGUGCUUUAUGGCCCUUCAGUACUCUGGGAUGGCCAGAUAUUUCAGCAGAGGAUUUUAGGCACUUCUAUCCAACCACAGUACUGGAAACUGGGCAUGACAUAUUGUUCUUUUGGGUGGCACGCAUGGUGAUGAUGGGGAUUGAGUUCACUGGGACUGUUCCUUUUUCAAAUGUUUAUCUGCAUGGGCUUAUCCGAGAUGCACAAGGGCAGAAAAUGUCUAAAACAUUAGGAAAUGUCAUAGAUCCAAUUGAUACAAUCAAGGAGUAUGGCACUGAUGCUUUGCGAUUCACACUUGCUUUAGGAACUUCUGGUCAGGAUCUAAAUUUAUCAACUGAGAGAUUGACAGCUAAUAAGGCAUUCACCAACAAAUUGUGGAACGCUGGCAAGUUUGUGUUGCAGAAUCUUCCAAGUCAAAGUGAUAUUUCUGCUUGGGAAAGUUUAUUGACAUAUAAGUUUCAUCUCGAGGAAUCUCUUCUUAGGCUACCUUUACCAGAGUGUUGGGUGGUCUCAAAACUUCACAUACUCGUUGACACAGUCACCACCAGUUACGAAAAGUACUUCUUUGGAGAUGUUGGAAGAGAAAUAUAUGAUUUCUUCUGGGCUGAUUUUGCUGAUUGGUAUAUUGAAUCCAGUAAAGCUCGCCUGUACCACUCAGAUGGUCAAUCAAUUGCUUCAAUAUCACAGGCAGUUCUUUUAUAUGUUUUUGAAAAUAUUCUGAUAAUGCUACAUCCAUUCAUGCCAUUUGUAACUGAAGAACUGUGGCAGGCACUCCCAAAUAGGAAAGAAGCUCUUGUAGUAUCAUGUUGGCCACAGACUUCACUUCCGAGUCAUGCCAACUCAAUAAAAAGAUUUGAGAACUUACAAGCUCUGACAAGAGCAAUUCGCAAUGCUCGAGCAGAAUAUUCUGUUAAGCCAGUUAAGCGUAUUUCCGCAUCUAUAGUUGCAAAUUCUGAAGUGAGACAGUAUAUUUCUAAAGAAAAGGAAGUUUUAGCUCUUCUCUCCAGGCUAGAUUUGCAAAAUGUCCAUUUUACAGAUACUCCACCAGAUGAUGCAAAUCAAUCUGUCCAUCUGGUUGCUGAUGAGGGUCUAGAGGCAUAUCUUCCUCUUGCUGAUAUGGUAGAUGUCUCAGCCGAAGUCCAGCGCCUUACCAAGCGCCUUUCAAAGAUGCAAGCAGAGUAUGAUGGACUUGUUGCUCGCCUGAGUUCUCCUGAAUUUGUAGAGAAAGCUCCAGAGGAAAUUGUACGUGGUGUUCAAGAAAAAGCGGUAGAAGCAAAAGAGAAAUUAACUCUUACUGAAAACCGUUUAGCUUUCCUCAAGUCGACAGUUUUGGUCUCAAAAUAGGUUUUACAGUUAUGCAACUUUUUCUCUUAUACAUUGUUGUGGUGGUCGGUCAAAAAAUCCAUUUGGAGGGCAGUUGCUGCCACACGUUUGGCGCAAUACAGGUUGCGGAGUGAUGCUGUCUCCUUUAUGUCGUGAUUCAAUGGAGCCAAGAUACACUUUUAGCAAUAUAGCCAAUGAUUCUGCAGCAAUCCUAAUUUGAAUUUUGUACAAUUUUUUGUUGUGUGUCAUUGUUGAGCUAAAAACCCAAAGAUUAGGCACCAGGUUAAGGCGUCAUGUAUAGAUAGGGGAAAAGAGGUUUGUCAUGGCAGACAACAAUAUGUUAUUGAUGAACUGUUGUUGUGUUUGGGAACCAUGUCAUUUAGGAGGGUUCACUCGUUCAUGGUAAAGUUGUAAGCUGAUUGAUUGUCUUUCUUAUUCAAGUAAAUCUUUUGAAACACACAAUGGAAUGUCAAUACCUAUUCAAUGAUCAA